GUUAAACGGCCGCGGUAUUCUGACCGUGCAAAGGUAGCAUAAUCAUUUGUUCUCUAAAUAAGGACUUGUAUGAACGGCCACACGAGGGUUUUACUGUCUCUUACUUCCAAUCAGUGAAAUUGACCUCCCCGUGAAGAGGCGGGAAUGAAUUAACAAGACGAGAAGACCCUAUGGAGCUUUAACUAACUAAUCCAAAAGAAAUAAAUUUAACCACCAAGGGAUAACAACAUCCUUUAUGGACUAGCAGUUUUGGUUGGGGUGACCUCGGAGAACAAGAGAUCCUCCGAGCGAUUUUAAAGACUAGACUUACAAGUCAAAUCAAAUUAUCGCUUAUUGAUCCAAAAAACUUGAUCAACGGAACAAGUUACCCUAGGGAUAACAGCGCAAUCCUAUUCAAGAGUCCAUAUCGACAAUAGGGUUUACGACCUCGAUGUUGGAUCAGGACAUCCUGAUGGUGCAACCGCUAUCAAAGGUUCGUUUGUUCAACGAUUAAAGUCCUACGUGAUCUGA
rnacentral:rRNA from 1 species